rnacentral:rRNA from 1 species
UACGUAGGGUGCAAGCGUUAUCCGGAAUUAUUGGGCGUAAAGAGCUCGUAGGCGGUUUGUCGCGUCUGCUGUGAAAACUGGAGGCUCAACCUCCAGCCUGCAGUGGGUACGGGCAGACUAGAGUGCGGUAGGGGAGAUUGGAAUUCCUGGUGUAGCGGUGGAAUGCGCAGAUAUCAGGAGGAACACCGGUGGCGAAGGCGGGUCUCUGGGCCGAUAUUGACGCUGAGGAGCGAAAGCGUGGGGAGCGAACAGG